UAGGGAAUUUUCCGCAAUGGGCGCAAGCCUGACGGAGCAACGCCGCGUGCAGGAGGAAGGCCUUCGGGUUGUAAACUGCUUUUAUCUGUGAAGAUUAUGACAGUAACAGAAGAAUAAGGACCUGCUAACUACGUGCCAGCAGCCGCGGUCAAACGUAGGGUCCAAGCGUUAUCCGGAAUUACUGGGCGUAAAGAGUUGCGUAGGUGGCAUAGUAAGCAAAUAGUGAAAGCGUACGGCUCAACCGCAUUUCCAUUAUUUGAACUGCUAAGCUAGAGCAUGAGAGAGGUAGAUGGAAUUUCUAGUGUAGGAGUGAAAUCCGUAGAUAUUAGAAGGAACACCGAUGGCGUAGGCAGUCUACUAGCUCAUUGCUGACACUAAGGCACGAAAGCGUGGGGAGCGAACGGGAUUAGAUACCCCCGUAGUCC
rnacentral:rRNA from 1 species